GUUGGGACGUCUGGAUGGAGCGGACUGGCUCUCUGUCUCAGCAAUCUAAGAGUGGCUCAGAUGUUUUCGAGGUUGCUGACGAGUCCACUGUUGCCGAGUGCCUUGGGCACUAAUGCUGCAAGUGGAAGUCAUCUGCUGUAGAAGCUUGAAAGGAGACUUUCUGUUGGAGAAGUCCGUCUGAAAUUUGCCUGAUGCAGAAGCUCGUCUGAGGACCAUCCGUCGGAGAGGUCUGGUUCC
rnacentral:lncRNA from 1 species